rnacentral:rRNA from 1 species
CAGUAGCCGCGGGAAUACAUAGGGUGCGAGCGUUAAUCGGAUUUACUGGGCGUAAAGCGUGCGUAGGCGGCUUCUUAAGUCGGAUGUGAAAUCCCUGAGCUUAACUUAGGAAUUGCAUUCGAUACUGGGAAGCUAGAGUAUGGGAGAGGAUGGUAGAAUUCCAGGUGUAGCGGUGAAAUGCGUAGAGAUCUGGAGGAAUACCGAUGGCGAAGGCAGCCAUCUGGCCUAAUACUGACGCUGAGGUACGAAAGCAUGGGGAGCAAACAGGAUUAGAUACCCCAGUAGUCCCUGUCUCUUAUAA